rnacentral:rRNA from 1 species
AGCGAACGCUGGCGGCAGGCCUAACACAUGCAAGUCGAACGAACUCUUCGGAGUUAGUGGCGGACGGGUGAGUAACGCGUGGGAACGUGCCUUUAGGUUCGGAAUAACUCAGGGAAACUUGUGCUAAUACCGAAUGUGCCCUUCGGGGGAAAGAUUUAUCGCCUUUAGAGCGGCCCGCGUCUGAUUAGCUAGUUGGUGAGGUAAAGGCUCACCAAGGCGACGAUCAGUAGCUGGUCUGAGAGGAUGAUCAGCCACAUUGGGACUGAGACACGGCCCAAACUCCUACGGGAGGCAGCAGUGGGGAAUCUUGCGCAAUGGGCGAAAGCCUGACGCAGCCAUGCCGCGUGAAUGAUGAAGGUCUUAGGAUUGUAAAAUUCUUUCACCGGGGACGAUAAUGACGGUACCCGGAGAAGAAGCCCCGGCUAACUUCGUG